UAAUCUAUCUGGGCCAGAUCCUUAUCUAGUUGUGAUAGACCUACACCUGACUGCCCAGAAUCACCGGUUAUCGCAAGCCCAACUACAUCAUUCUCCCUAGGUUGGAGAGAGCUCGUCCUCGUGUUAUGUUCCUCCCCAAAUAAGAAGUCAAGUGGUGGACAUUAAAGA
rfam:Populus trichocarpa scaffold_5_contig_274, whole genome shotgun sequence.